ensembl:lncRNA
UCAGGAUUUAUGGUCACCAUGAGGAGAGAAACCAAGGGCAGGAGGCAUAGGAUAAAGAACUUGGAGAGUUGAAAACACAGUUCAGGGACUCACAGGAAGCAUCAUGACCAACACUGCCAAUUCUCCUGGUAGGAUUCACUUCCAGGGAGCAGCAGGGGGAAGACAGCUGCCAUGACAUGCUGAUACUCAAAAGAGGUUGAUGUGAAUAGGAAUUGAGACACAUCACCAACAACCAGGACCACUUUGCCAGCUAUGCACGUGAGCCACUCUGGAAG